GGCAGCAUGGCCCUCUGAUAUUAACAUGGUUUCAGAUGACUGACUGGACACUGCCCUUGGUGGUGAGAGGAGCCAUGGACAUCAACACAGACCCUGGCUUCCACUGGGCCACAGACUCCGACAUGGCUCCCAUCAGCAGCCCAGGCUCAGAUGUCACCACGGCCCCAUGUGGCAGGUCACGGCAAUCAGAUCAGAAUGGCCCCCAUGGUAGCAUGGCCCUCAGGUCCAAACAAGGCCCCAGGUGGCAGCCCUGAUCCCUGGCAUCGGCAUGGCCUUGAUGAUAUCAGAAGCCACAGACUUCAAUACAGAUCCUGGCUGCGGUAGAACCACAGACCCAGACAUGGCCUUCGGCAACAGUCCUGGCUUAGAUGGCACCAUGGUCCCAGUUGGUUCCAGGAACAUGGACCAGGGACUUGAUGAAAGGUGAGGAUGGAGGAAGAAUAGGAAAUCAGAGAGACUGAAGGCAGGCUGAGACACAGCAGGGGCAUUGUAAAAUCCAUCUGUUUAACCUGGUGCUACUGGGAUACUCUAUGAAGAGCAGUGUAUAUACAUGAAAUGGAGAAGAGUAAUGUUGACAGUCUCUGAGAGGAGAUGGGAUGGGAAUAAUAAUGAUCAAUAUACAGUCUAUAAAUGUGUGAUAUUCUCAAAGAAUUAAGACAAUAUUCUUAAAAGUUGGAAAAAAUCUCAACUGCUAAUAGAAGCUCAAUUGUAGGGACUCUUAAAUCCCUUUUCUGGCAAUCAUGAUCACAUUUCUCCCAUGAAGAAAAGCUCUUGUGUAUUCUGUGCUCAAUGAGAAGAUUGGCUCUAAAUCCUACCCCAAACCUUCCCUGCAUAUUGCCUACAUCAAGGAGGUGUGUACAGAACAGAAAACUA